rnacentral:rRNA from 1 species
AUAGCGUAUAUUAAAGUUGUUGCAGUUAAAAAGCUCGUAGUUGAACUUCAGGCCUUGGCCGGCGGUCCGCCUCACGGUGUGUACUGUCGGCCGGGGCCUUCCCUCUUGGUGAACCCUCAUGCCCUUUACUGGGUGUGGGGGGGAACCAGGACUUUUACUUUGAAAAAAUUAGAGUGUUCAAAGCAGGCCUAUGCCCGAAUACAUUAGCAUGGAAUAAUAAAAUAGGACGUGCGGUUCUAUUUUGUUGGUUUCUAGGAUCGCCGUAAUGAUUAAUAGGGAUAGUUGGGGGCAUUAGUAUUCAGUUGCUAGAGGUGAAAUUCUUGGAUUUACUGAAGACUAACUACUG